ensembl:lncRNA
CAGGACGCUGAAGCCCAGAGGCACAGGGAAGAGGCAGAUAAAGACCCCCCACACAAGGCCCACUAUCAGCAGGCCCCUCGGGCUGGGGGAUCCCCCUGGAAAAUCCCAGCUCUGGCGGCAGGGCUGGUAACACAGCUGCUGUGGGUCUGUCUGGCUCCCGCUGCUCUCUGACUGUGUUGUUGUACACGCAAAGCACAUCUCCGGCAUGUUUUGUCGCAGUGGCUGUGCAAGCACUAGAGAUUGUUUGUUCUGGAUUUGCCUAGCCACCGUCUCGGUUUCGGUCGGGGGCCCGCACCUGCCAGGCAGCGCAAAGCGCUGAGAUGAAGGGCAGUUCUUCCCAUGAGGAGGGGGUGGUCGGGGUUGCUCGCUGCCUUGAGGCGCGACUGUACUGAGAACACAGCACCUGCCGGAUGUUGUUCCCGUGUCAACAGUAAGGGUUUGUGUCGAGACGCCACCUGUGGGAUUAGCGAGUGCACAGAGCACAGGUCUUGUUUGCAUUUUACCUCGGUUAUCCACGUCCGAGCUGUGCUCCCUCUCCCUCUCCUUCUCCGAAGAAAGUUUUGCGCUCUCUGGGCGCACAUCGGUCGCUCGCGUUUGCACUCGGCCAAGCUCCGUGCUUGACCGCUUUCUCUCCUUCCCCUCCGAUGAACGUUCAGCCUUCUCUGGGCAAACGUGGUCACCGGUGGGCCUGAGACUGAUGAGACGCAGGCUCCCGCAGAGCCCCAGAAGGACGGCGGCAGCAGGGAGUCCCCAGUAGGGCUCGCUGAAGUCUGGCCAGGCGGCAGAGAGCAGGCUGGGGAGACAACGCCAGAGGGAACCACCACUGCCGCCGGUGUCUCCCUCCAGGCAGAGCUCAACGCCCAGGUCCCAGUGGCGUUCAGCACGGAGCCCAGAGAUGCACCACGCCAACAGGCAGCUCAGGACACAGGCGACGUGGGCCAGAGCGCCCGCAGAGGAAGCGGUCCGGUUCUGCCGCUCCGCUCUCUUAGGCUCGGCCCUGGCACUGCCCUCUUCUCCCUUCGUCUGGAAACCCUUCCCUCCACACUCUCCCUCCAUCCCUCUGAGCUGGGGCCAGUGGAGAUGGAAUGCCAUCUCCACGGCAACCAGAGGGAUGAUGAGCAGCAUCACACCCCCGUAGGUGUGAGUGAGGAAGAGGAGGAAGCGAUGGGCGAUGCUGUCGGUGGAGACGGUAAAAGGCACUAGCCAGGAGCCAGACAGCCAAAGGAAAGCCAGGAACACUGCAACAUCAACACGCAAGCAGAAGCACAACCUGGUCAGACUGUGCACAGAAAAGAAACAUCACCUUCUACAACCAUGUCAACAUUCUACAACCAUGUCAGCCUUACAUCAGAG